CGGAGCCUUCUCACUUGCUGGCUUCGUGGUCACAGCAGGCGGCUUUCCCUCGCUCUCUCCCUCGCUCGUGUGUUUGUUCAUUGGACCUCUCUGCUGCUGCUGGCCGGGGCUAAAUGCUGAGAUACUGAGAUGAAGAUGACAGAGACCCUGCUCUCAAAUGGCUCACGGCCAGGUCGGGGAGGCAGACAGCUAACUGACCCACUUCCUAAUGGUUCAGUCUGAACAGUUUUUUUAUCUUCUGGGGGUACAGUGAGCAUCCUAUUUGGGACCAGUUCAGAAAGUUUUGACUGUCACAAAGAAGAGUUUGCUGCGAUGGGCAGUGGGGAGCCAAGGAAGGCUCUUGAGUGGGAGAAUGGCAUGAUUAAAGAAGUUCCCUCUAAUCUGCUGUGAGGAGCAAACGUGGCAGCAGAGAGACCAGUGUGGAGGCUGUAGGUGAGGAUGGCGGUGGAGCUGGACAGAAGCGGACGAUUCAGGACAGACAGUGGAGGAAACACCAGGAACUCCGGAGAGACCUUCACUGAGUUCUGGCGAAACGAGAAAUGCCAAGCACAGGGCAUGUGGAACACACCACAGAGCUACCAUCAACACAAGCCAGUCCUGGGGAAAGUCUACAGAUGCUGCCACAGCAUGGCUGGGUGAGCGGCGUAUAGGUCUACACCUGGGAUCUGAACCUGCAAACCCGGCCCACUGACUCAGAGUUCCUGAACUUAACCACUAUGGCACCAGGCCAACACCAAGUUUUUACAAAGAUGGGCAAGACAAAAUAUAGUGUCUAUGGACACACACAGAGUAAUUGCUGAGCUCCGAGUCUGUGCCAGGCGCCGGGGGCCACAGCGGCUGGUGAGAGACAUGUUCCUGCCCUCACGGGGCCCAGAGGCCGACAAGUGGGACAAGGCAGAGAACCAGGAACCGCUCCUGCCAGGACCCUUAGGGACUCUGGGUAAAACGUGACAGGUAGCUUUGUACAUGGUCGCAGGAUGUGAGGGAAAUCCUACAGCCUUCAGA
rnacentral:lncRNA from 1 species